GACGGGUGAGUAACGCGUGGGUAACCUGCCCUGUACACACGGAUAACAUACCGAAAGGUAUGCUAAUACGAGAUAACAUACUUUUAUCGCAUGGUAGAAGUAUCAAAGCUCCGGCGGUACAGGAUGGACCCGCGUCUGAUUAGCUAGUUGGUAAGGUAACGGCUUACCAAGGCGACGAUCAGUAGCCGACCUGAGAGGGUGAUCGGCCACAUUGGAACUGAGACACGGUCCAAACUCCUACGGGAGGCAGCAGUGGGGAAUAUUGCACAAUGGGCGAAAGCCUGAUGCAGCAACGCCGCGUGAGCGAUGAAGGCCUUCGGGUCGUAAAGCUCUGUCCUCAAGGAAGAUAAUGACGGUACUUGAGGAGGAAGCCCCGGCUAACUACGUGCCAGCAGCCGCGGCAAUACGUAGGGGGCUAGCGUUAUCCGGAAUUACUGGGCGUAAAGGGUGCGUAGGUGGUUUCUUAAGUCAGAGGUGAAAGGCUACGGCUCAACCGUAGUAAGCCUUUGAAACUGGGAAACUUGAGUGCAGGAGAGGAGAGUGGAAUUCCUAGUGUAGCGGUGAAAUGCGUAGAUAUUAGGAGGAACACCAGUUGCGAAGGCGGCUCUCUGGACUGUAACUGACACUGAGGCACGAAAGCGUGGGGAGCAAACAGGAUUAGAUACCCUGGUAGUCCACGCCGUAAACGAUGAGUACUAGC
rnacentral:rRNA from 1 species